CAGACACCCGAUCUUGCAAGUCUCUCUUCCGCUGUUCUCCGUGUCUCUGAGUCCAUUCUUUGGGUUUGAAGAGGUAAGUCUUUUGGGCUGCUGCGCUCACCACCUGCUGGGACCCAGGCUUCUCCAGUCUUGAAGUCCUUUCUGCUGCCACCUGCACCUGCUGAAAGGGACUUCCUGCCCAGGUGAGAGCAGCUCCUGCCCUACCAGCCAGAUUGGGUCUUAACCUCGGCUCCCUGCUGCCUUCCACACUGCACCAUGGCAUUCGCAAGAUUAGAGCACUGGGCUUCCGUCCAGGGAUGCUAAGAGGAUGGGGGUGCAGCCCUCUGGAAACUGCAGUGCUGAGGGUUCUCCUGGCAAGGUAAGCAGGAACCGGCAGCGCAGGCGAGAGGUAGCCGCCCAUCUGCAAGCAUGGAGAGGCGUCUCCGAGAGUGAAAGGCGUGUGAGGAAGGUCGGCGAUGGGGACCCAGGUGCCCUGGCCCCGCCCUGCCCAGAACAGCCCCCAUGGCACAGGCUCAGCGGCAGCAGAAGAGCCCCAGACCCUAAAAGCACCCACCGCUCUGCCCUGCCUCGGGCCUUUUGUCCAGUGGUCCAUGAGCUCUGGAGAUGGGCCGGCUCGCGGGGUGAAUUAAUGAGAAGGUAUGGAAUCGCUUACAGGGCCUGGAGGAGGUAUCGCCAGAUCCAAAACCGAACACAUGUGACUUGCCCUGAGGCCGGCUGCUGAGAGGAAGCAAAGUGCGGCGGGACCUGAGAGUGUCUGUGGACAACCAAGGGGACUCCAGGAGGCUGAGAGCGAGGGCUGAGAGGAAGGGGAGGGAAAUGUUAACAGCGGCUUGGAGGCACGAGACCCUUGUCAUGUCCUGGCAAAAAGCCUGGUACCAACGUGGCUUCAAGGAAAAUUAGAAAUCACCUUAAUAAACUCAAUAAGCUACCUACGAAGUUUCAAGACAGAAUAUUCAAAACACCACCUGGCUGCUUCUGGAGGCCAAGGAUAAAAUGCCAGAGUAGCAAGACAUGUUAAAGGCUGGCCUGGUAAAUGGGAGAGGACCAGGGUUGGCUACAUUUGAAAAUAAAACUGCUUCUCCUUGCCUGCCCCCUCCAGCUGGUAAACAAUAAAUGGCUUCCAGGGUUCCAUUUCCAAGAUACACAAAGAAACUCCCAAAAAAACCAUUCUCUCACAAGAAGUAACUAAAUGCUAAGUGAAAUGCAAAAUCACAACCGCCUGAAGGCUGUGGGGAAUAAACACACACAGGCAGGUACUAGACGGGAAUAGGAGUGUGCAGGUGGUGAGUGUUGAUGUGGUGUGGGUCUAAACACACACAGGCAGGUACUGGACGGGAACACGAGUGUGCAGGUGGUGACUGUUGAUGUGGUGUGGGUCUGUGUCCUCACCCAAAUCUCAUGUUCAGCUGCAAUCCCCAGUGCUGGAGGUAGGGCCUGGCGGGAGGUGAUUGGAUCGUGAGGGUGGGGUUCUCAUGAAUGGCUUAGCACCCUCCCCACUUGAUACCACAUGGUGAGUGAGUUCUCAUGAGAUCUGGCUGUUUAAAAGUGUGUGGCACCUCCCCCAGCAAUCUCUCUUGCUCCUGCUCCAGCCAUGGAAGACGUGCCUCCUUCUUUGCCUUCUGCCAUGAUUAUAAGUUUCCUGAGGCCUCCCAAGAAGCCACGCAGAUGCCAGCACCAUGCUUCCUGUACAGGCUGCAGAACCACGAG
rnacentral:lncRNA from 1 species